CCGCCAUUCGGGAAACGAACACGUGGCGGCGGCCAUCUUAAACUCCCGAACAGCGGUGUUUUGCCGUCGAGUGUCUGGAACUAAAAUCGGACACUCGACUAAGCAAACACCGCUGAGACCUCCAGACUUCCAACAAUUCGUGCAGAAACUACCGAACGGCCCGCCGUUCGGUAGAAAGGAUCCCACGAACAGGGGGAUUCAUACGAAUCCUCCCCAAGCUCCAUAACCCAGG